CGACAUUAUACCGAAUCGUUUUAAACUGAAAUCGUUUCAAAUUGGCAAUUCUAGCGCGAAACCAGACCAGAACCGGCCCAUGGCCAAUUCUACUACUGCCUAUCCCGUUUCUUUUCAGUUGGUUAGACUGGGAAUUAACUAGGCGCCAUAGCCCAUAAACAAAGAUGGCCCUCCAACUAUCCCCUCCCACGAAUCAUAAAGAAUGGUUAACUCCCAAGAAAAACAUGCCAUGACUAAACCACCGGAUAGCUCUAUAAUCCACCUAAAAAAUUGAGGUGAUUGAUCUAUUUUACAACAUUACAAAAUGUACAUGACCAACUAUAUCCUGUAUAACCAAAACUAAACAUGGUAGAUCAUUCCUACCUCUAGAGUUGAUGCAUGUGGCACACUUAGAGGAUAGGCUGGUGCCCUACAGUUCCUCCUUAGGAAUUCAUACCCAUAAUUAAUGACAAGCUUCUUCACCAUGCUAGAUCCUUGCUUGGCUCUCAUAUACGAGUGCCCUAGUAUGUAAGCAAUCCCAGCUUCCCUAGCUUCCAUUAGUUCUUGCAAUUCUUCUCUUGCGCCUCGAUCAAUCUUUGGGCUUUCUGGUACGAUAAAUCGCACUCUUUUCCUAGGGUGGAUCACCGGUGGUGAUCUUAUUUCUCUCAUCUCUGAUGUGCUGGCUGACUCUAUGAUAUCACCAUCAUCCUCACUCAGUUGGAUUCCAUCUGUAUGGGUAGAACAUGUCCCAACUACUGUCAUUUUAUUGUCUUCCUUCCCCACAUCAUCAUUUGCACCAUUGGUUUCCUUGAUCCCUGACCGUAUGUACUCUGCUAUGCUACAUACAAGAUCCUUCUCAAAUUCCAUAUCGUCCUUGUGGACAUCUCGGUAUCCAUACCGUACAAUGCACCUAUAGAGCCUGUAUUCUCUUGGUCCAAUAUGGCCGACAAGAAACCGCUCCUCUGGUUUAACACGUGGAACUGGGACAGAUUUAAUGCAGAGAAAGACUAGGACUUGGUGGAAUGCUGGAAGGUUGGUGACAAAGUGGGAGAAGAUUGCUGGGAUUCCAGACACAAGCUCAGUGUGUACGAGGCCAAUUCCACGGACACGCACAAUACCAAGGCUGGGACCCAAGCUUAGUAGCCAGUUAAUAGAGACCUUGUUUUGGACAUCAAAUUCAUACUUUUUGAGCGUACCAAAGUGCCAGACACACAUAAUGAUCAAGAAGAUGAACGAAAGGGCAAUAGGGACCCAGGCCCCUUCCAGGAACUUUAUGAGGGAAGCAGUGAAGUAGAGGGCUUCAAUUGUACCAAAAAAGAAUAUGAAGCAUAUUGCAAGAAAAACACUCUUUUGCCAGCAUAAGACGAUUACCAGAGACAUUAGGCAGGUGGUAACCAGCAUAACAGUUAUAACUGCCAAACCUGAGGCAUUGCCCAUUCGUUUAGUGUCUCUGAAACCAACAGUAACAGCCAAGCAUAACAGCAUCAAAGUCCAGUUAAUCUCUGGGAUGUAGAUCUGACCAUGGAUUUUGGAUGACGUGUGGACAAUUUUUACUCUUGGGAAGCAACCCAAAGCAGAGCACUGUUUUAUGAUUGAGAAAGUUCCAGUGAUGAUAGCUUGGCUUCCAACUACUGCAGCAAGUAUGGCUAUGACAAGAACUGGCCAUCUCAAUUUAUCUGGUACAGAUACAUAAAAUCCAAUUCGGUAAUCACUAUCAACAACAUGAUGCUUGGACAAAUAGGCAGCCUGCCCCAUAUAUGCAAGAACCAAGGAUGGAUAUACCAAAGAGGUGAAAGCAAUCUGGAGAAACGUGAAUGCCCAUUAGACAAAGUUGUUGCUUUUAAAGUGACAGUUGGCUGAAGAAUAAUGAGUACUUUUGGGCUAUUAUAAACAAUCCGAAGGAGGGUAAAACUGAAUGAUUGACUUUCUGAACCCUGAAAACCUUACCCCUAAAAGCAUAUGAAGAUCAUAGAUGUUAAUUUAUUAAGAAAUUUUGCACGUGAAAACUAUAGUGUAUAAAGGGAAUCCCUUGUGCACAAGGCCCCCGACUCUGUAAGGGUUAAGAAAGGGAUGCUUAUCAUACAUAGCCUUCCUCUAGCUUUUUACAAAGAGGCUAUUUCCACCACUCUCAUGACCUUCUGGUCACAAAGAAGUAAUCUUACUAUUGCAUCAACGCUUUCCCUCUAAAACUUUAAAUGUAUCCUAAGUAAAAUAUUUCUCGGAGAAUUUAAGAUGCACUGUGGAACAAACUUUUUCUUAACAGAACACGAGUCUUUUAAUUCAAUUCAGUAAAAAGCAGUUGACACUGCCAACCAAAAA
rnacentral:misc_RNA from 1 species